AAGAGCGCUGCGGGGUCGGGCGAGGCACAGUCCCACUGCACGGCUGGGCGGAGCCAAGGACACUGGGCUUGGAGUCAUUCGGGCUGGAUGGGGCUGAACCCGCCCAUGUCUAUGGCCUGCUGAGUCCUGUCCUCUUGCAGAGCUCUUUUCGUCAUCUGCGCAAUGGCAGGAAUGAGACGGAAACCAGUGAAGCGUUCCUCGCAGGGCCUGGACUUAUCUUGGAUAACAUUUGCAGUGACCUUAUGAGGUAAGGAUGGCCACUUGGAACCCUUGAAGCUGUGAGUCCCCUUGACUUCCUCCCAGGCACUGCCCUCCCAGAAGUGAAGGUACCAGGAGGCAGAGGAAACAGUAGCACCACGGUGCCAUCCUGGAUCCAACGGAGCAGACAGCACGAAAAUCCAACACGCCCCUCACCGGAGGACUGGGAGGCUCCCGCGUUUUGGAUUCUGAAAAGCACUCCCUCGUUCACGUCUGCCUGGAUUCGCGCCCUCAAGCCCCCUGGCGCCCACUUUUCUUGCUCUCCAAACACUCGUUGAGGCCCGAGAGGGAGAUGCGAAGUUUGCCCACCACUGCGCGUCCCUCCUCCGCGAGGCGCCAAUGGGCCUGAGUCAGGGGCCUCCCCUUCAUCCGCUGGUCCCUCCCCUGUUCCCAGCUCCAGUUCCUCACCCGCUAUGGCUGGCCUGGCGCCUGUGGCCGUUCACCGUCUGCGAGGCAUCUGCGGGGACUGAAGUCGGGGAGGCAGCGGCGGGCUCUGGCAGAUACCAGGAGAUCCCGCCCCUCGGCCCGGGAGACCCCGCCCCUCGGCCACGCCCCUUUCCGCUCCCCACCCCGCCCUCUUGGGCCCCCCACCCGGCCCAGCCAGACAGAGACCUGCCUCCAGGUGGGUGGGAGGAGACCUUCAGUCCCUCGCCCCGGGCCUGUUGUCACUACCUCCCCCAAACACAUUGGUUAAAGUCACCCGAUUAGAAGGGGCCACCUGUGAGACUUGGAUCCAAAGCAAACUAGCGGAAGCUGAAGGGUCUUGGGGCUUCCCAGGCCUCUCGGAGGCCGGGAUGGUCGUGGAGGAGGGAGCGCUCAGUGCCUGGCCUACUGCCUGCCCUGAGCCGGCUCCCUACAGGACGCUUCUCCUGUACCUUCCACCUGCUGCGAGGAAGGGCUGGGGGCAGGCGUACCCAUUUUCCAGAGGAGAACUGAAGGCUCUCACCCCGGGUUAGGCCAGUGGCCGGAGGCAGAGCCGGGCCUUGAACCUGGCUUUCUGGAUCUUCAUCCAGGCCAUUCUAAAGGGGAUCACAGUUUCCAGGAGUCACUCCUGAAGAUGGUCAAGUACCAUGGAGGGGCAGGGCAUCCAUGGACCCUGAUUUGAGGCCCCGGAGCAGUUGGGACUGGUUUGGGCCACGGCUGGCCUAAUCUCCCCUCCACAGAGCCUGGGCAUUGUCCAGUUGGCAGCCAAGAGCCAUCUAUCCACUUUACAGCGGGCAGCUUUGACAGGCUGCUUGUUUCCAAGGACAAAGCCUGCAGGCUGUGGGUAGGCGAUAGCCACUGCGGACCUCGGGCUCAUUGCCUGGGUACAGGGGGUGGGGAGCCUGAGGUCUGCCAGGACCCAAGGGAGCCUCGAGGGUGGCCUGAGGACAUUGGGUCCUCACUCCUGGCCCCUCAGCCAACCCCCUCAUAGCCCAGGGCCAGGAAUUUUGGAAGGAAGAACCAGCCACUGGGAUGUUUUCACUUUUGGGUCACCCUGAUCCCCCCAGAAUCGAGGCUUGGCCAUCAGCCAGCUUUUAUGUGACCCAGGCAGCUCUCUCCACUCUGUUUCUUCUUCUACAGAAUGUUGAGAAUCACCUCUUUCUCUCAGGGACAUAAAGCAUGGCUGUGAGAGAGAUUUGUGAGUGUUGGGGUCACUGUAAUUACUCUCUGAGGGUGCCUGUCUUGAGCUCUGUAGACAAAGUGGGAUCCCUUCCCCUCUCUCAUACCCCUACAAACUUUGGGCCUCGAGUAUCCAGGAUGGGCCCAGAACCAGCACUGGCACAGCCUCCUCUCUGGCCUGAUCCAAGCCCUCUCCCACACAGCAGUCAGGCUGAUCUUCCUAAAAUUUCCGUCUAUUGAGCUUACAUUAAAAUAAUAAUAAUAAUAAUAAUAAUAAUAAUAAUAAUAAUAAUAACAACAUUUCUGUCUGAUUUUGUCUCUCCUCUGCUCAAAAUCCCUCUGUGGAUCCCUAGUGCCUCCAGGAGAAAGUCCACCCUUCCUCUCACGGCUCACCCAAUCUACCCCAGCCGUGGCUCCUCCCUCACUGUGCCUCUUCCCCUUACCUUCUAGCCAGAGUGAAAUCCCCAGGCCUCUGCGUGCACCAUUCCCUCUGCUUAGGAAUAGGCAGACCUGCCCCCAGGUCUUUUCUGGUUCAUUUCCACUUAUCCUUCAGGUUUCUAGGAUGCUUUCCCUGACCUCCACUUAAAUUGGCUCAGGAGUUCCCUGAUCUCCACAAAUGUCAGGAACUUGUCCACCCGCCUGCCCCCAGCACCCAGGUUACACCUGACAAAAUGAUCUGUGACAUGCCUGGCCUGGAGCCUGGCACACAGCAGGUGCUCAGUAAAUACAUAUUUGGCCGGGCGCGAUGACUCACGUCUGUAACCCCAUCACUUUGGGAGGCCGAGGUGGAUGGAUCACCUGAGGUCACGUGUUUGAGACCAUCCUGGCCAACAUGGCGGAACCCUGUCUCUACUAAAAAUACAAAAAUUAGCUGGUUGUGGUGGCGCGUGCCUGUAAUCCCAGCUGCUGGGGAGGCUGAGGCAGGAGAACCUGGGAGGCGGAGGUUGCAGUGAGCCAAGAUCAUGCCAUCACACUCCAGCCUGGGUGACAGAACAAGGCUCAGUCUCAAAAUGAAUACAUACAUACAUACCUAUUUGUAUUAGGAGGAGAAAACCAAGAACCAGAGAAGAGAAGAGAAGGGAAGGGACCUGUGGCCACAUAGCAAGGCCAUGGCACAGCCGAAGUCUCCUCUGCUUUCCUCAUGCAGCCCCGUCCAACCCAUCUCUUUCAUCUCUUUUCUUAAAACUUAAAAAUAUUUUCAGGGGGGUGUGGUGGCUCAUGCCUAUAAUCCCAGCAAUUUGGGAGGAUGAGAUGGGAGGAUUGCUUGAGCCCGGGAGUUUGAGGCUGCAGUGAGCCACUGUAGUCCAGCCGGGGUGACACAGCCAGACUCCAUCUUUUUCUCUGUAUAUUUUUUCACCUCUACCUGAUGUGACUGAGUAACUGCUGGGGUACAUCACCUCUUUCAGGUGAUGGAAAUGUUCUAAAGUUGAUUAUGCUGAUGGUUGGUUGCCCAGCUGUGAAUGCAGUAAAAACAUUGAGCCGUACACUUUAAAUGGACAAGUUAUGUGUGAAUUAUAUCUCAAUAAAGCUCUGUGCCCCACCCAAAUCUCCUGUCAAACUGUGAUUCAUAGCGUUGGAAGUGGGGCCGGGUGGAAGGUGACUAGAUCAUGGGGGCGGAUCCUUCAUAAAUGAU
rnacentral:lncRNA from 1 species